rnacentral:lncRNA from 1 species
UAGUAUAAAAAUGCGUGGGAGUACAUUUAAGCUCUAAGGAGGCUGUUACAUAGCCUGAUGCUGGAAGGGGUUGAGUAAUGCUAAGCUCUGCUUGAAAAUGGGUCACUCACAGUACCUUGCAGGAAUAGGUGAGAUAGGAGUCACCCCAUAAAGGCUUUUCAAGAUUUCUUCCCAGACUUUAAGAAGAUGGUUUGGAAACCAUUUGGCUCCUGAAUUGAGCAAAUUUUCUCUGAAUCUAGGACCCUGCUUGAACCUUGGGAUUCACUUUUCCUCGAAACAGGAUCUUCAAAAUGGUGAUAUGAAGUCUGAUUUCCCAAAUAGUCAGACCCAUAAAUAUUAAGAAUCUCA